rnacentral:rRNA from 1 species
UACGGAGGAUCCGAGCGUUAUCCGGAUUUAUUGGGUUUAAAGGGUGCGUAGGCGGCCUAUUAAGUCAGGGGGUGAAAGACGGUAGCUUAACUAUCGCAGUGCCUUUGAUACUGAUGGGCUUGAAUGUAGUUGAGGUAGGCGGAAUGUGACAAGUAGCGGUGAAAUGCAUAGAUAUGUCACAGAACACCAAUUGCGAAGGCAGCUUACUAAAGUAUGAUUGACGCUGAGGCACGAAAGCGUGGGGAUCAAACAGG